GCGAGUGUGGUGAAAUUGGUAGACACGCCAGAUUUAGGUUCUGGUGCCAUACGGUGUGGGGGUUCAAGUCCCUCCACUCGCA
rnacentral:tRNA from 1 species